UCCUUCUUGCCAUAUUCUCUCUCAUAAAUUUAUCACCAUUCAUGUACAUAAUGUCAUUAUUUAAUAUUAAUAAUGCCCCAAAUUUCAUAUUUCAAAUUUUGAAUUCAAAGUUAAAAAUUAAAAAAGAAUAAUAUAUUCCAUCAAUUAUUUCUGUUUUUGUUUUUGUUUUUAUUUUUCUCUUCGGCUCCUCUUUCUUCUUCAUCAAUUUCACCACCUCUAUCUUUUUCAUCUUCUUCAGUUUUUUUUCAUUAUCUAUUUCUGUUUCUCUCUUCUUCUUCUUCUUCGGAUAUCAUGCUUGCCACUCUCAUUAUCGCCCUUUCCUUCCCAAGCUUCUAUUCAAACCCAGAAGCCAUCCACUGCUCCUUCUCCCACCAGCGACGGGUCGUCAAUAGAUCAAGGGAUUGCAUAUGAGCAAGAGAAUGAAGGGACUCAAAGCUGAAGGAAGCGCAUACCGGAGCGUUAGGCUCAGGGUAACCGCCGCAAGGAGGUGCGUUGGGUCAACGUCAUUGGCGACAUUCACAGGAACAGAGGAGAUACUUCGAAGCCUUCAAACGGCUCUGAAUCUGAAUCAAUUACGAAGUUCUGCGAAAAUACUUGCUGGGAAAGGACUUGCUCCCUACCUGCCAAUCCCUUAGUGAGAUGUACCUUCGACUCGAGCAGUUCUCUGAUGCUCUACCUUACCAGAAGAUGCAGUUAGACCUUGCAAGGAAUGCCCCUGCCAAGGUUUCCUUAGUUUUCUUGCUCUUUGCGGCAUUCUCCACUACGUUAGGGCAAUGAGUGACGGGUUUUGAGUGAUUGGAAGGGUAGAGUUGAGGGUUCUUCCAUUGGUCUACCUUUUGGUUUGCGUUACAUUUUCAAGCGUGAAUGGAUGUUGAAGUUUUCCAUUGUUCAGGGACAUGGAUUGAAGACCAAAUGCAUUAGAUAAAUGAUGAAUCUGAAUUUUUUACAAGGGUAUACCGUAUUUGAAGCUUGCUAAUGAGGUGAACUACUGAUGAUUUAUUAUCUAUUUUAUAGGUAUUUUAUUUUUGUCAUUGUAAGAUUUAUGGAUCACACUUUCGGUUUGGCUUAUUACUUAAAGUCUCACUAAUUGAUUGGGUUUGUAGUUGAUGAUAAUUUUUUUGGUGAGACUUGAUUUUGAUUUGGCAGAGAACCUAAGUGAUUGUAUGGAUGUUCAGAUAAAAAGAUGAGCUGUAGGAAAACAAAAAACCAAUAUGCAAUCACUGCUAUCAUCAUUACAAGAUGGGUUUGUUUGCCAUUGGUAAUGGAUGCGAGAAGUUAAGGAAUCUAAUAUUAAGUCACAAGGGUUUGGAAGUAAUUGCUACCGGAUGCAAGGAACUUGCACAUCUUGAAGUCAAUGGAUGUCACAAUAUUCGAGCUUUGGGGCUAGAAUCCAUUGAAAGAUCUUGCCAGUAUGUAUGUAAAAUAAGGAAUGAAUUAACCAUUUAAUAAAUAGGCAACAUAAGGAAGCAUGGCACACAUGUUUGGCCUCUUUAUAUUUACAUUUGGUCAAGUUUUUCAUUGCUUGCUAUGUGUGUUUCUCUGUUUAUUUUUCGUUUGUGGUGCUAAGCUCGGCUUUCUAUUGGCAGACGUCUUAUUGAGUUGGCAUUAUUUUACUAUCAAAGAAUUGUUGAUGUUGGUCUUCUCCAGGAUGGAGAAGGAUGGGAGUUCCUAUAAACUCUUCAACAGGUAGAUUACUCAAACCUUGGGGAUGGUGCUAUAUUUGGUAUACCUAUUGGUUGUAGGAAUUUAAAGGAACUUCAUAUCCAUUGUUGUUAUGAGGUGCUUCAUUUGCAUGCCUAUUUGGUUUACCAUGUUAAACUUCAUUUAAAAACGAGUAUUUUUGGGAUGGCUCGCUUUCAAAAUGCUCUAUGUGUAAUAUGAUAUAGGAGAAUGACUCUUAACUCAUUUUGUCUCAACACACAAUUUUACUAAUUUUUCCUUUAUCUAAAUGGCUUCUUUUGGUGAUUCCACAUUCAAAACUAAUGUUAGUCAAUAAAAUUUGAAAACCAUGAGAGUUUGAGACCAGUGAGCUACAUGAAAAUGAAUGUUAAAAUGCAGUAUUUAACUUGGUUACAGCAAUUUAUUCAUGUCCCAUGCAUAAUCUACCAUUCCCUUUUGAUCUGUUUCAUCGUCCAAUAUUGCAUUUCCAUUCUGCACACACAUGAAAGUGUGUUACGUUUUCUAUAUAUGAUAUAGUAAAUGAAUUGGUAUAUGCUAUGAUGUUUAUGCAACUUUGGCAAAAAUUUUAAAACGUUGCUGAAAUUAAAACAUAUUUUUUAGUAUGUUACUCAUUUUUGUUGAGCUUGAAGAUUAGAAGUGUUUCAUCCAGAUACAGUUUUAGCAUUAGUCUUAGGCUUUCAGCCUUUUUUCUCUUAUCUUUUAAUUCAGUUUUUCCCAAAUUUUUGAAAGGUGCAGAUGAUUCUGUCACAAGUUGAGGUUAUUACUGCUUGAUUUCGAUGGCUGAUUUAUAUAGCUUUAUUGCAUCAGCGUUCUAUGCCUUUCUCAUGGAGUCUUGUCGGUACACUAACGCCACGGUCACUAGCCGCCAUCGGAAAUCGCACCGACACUGUUCCGACUGGCGCCGUUGCUGCACAGGCCACCGCCAAGGG